rnacentral:tRNA from 1 species
GCCCGGUUAGCUCAGUCGGUAGAGCAUUCGGCUUUUACACGCGUAUCACCUGUGUGGCACCGAAAUGUCGGGGUUCGAGCCCCCCAUUGGGCG